CAGUCGCCGCGGUAAUACAGAGGGUGCGAGCGUUAAUCGGAUUUACUGGGCGUAAAGCGUGCGUAGGCGGCUUUUUAAGUCGGAUGUGAAAUCCCUGAGCUUAACUUAGGAAUUGCAUUCGAUACUGGGAAGCUAGAGUAUGGGAGAGGAUGGUAGAAUUCCAGGUGUAGCGGUGAAAUGCGUAGAGAUCUGGAGGAAUACCGAUGGCGAAGGCAGCCAUCUGGCCUAAUACUGACGCUAAGGUACGAAAGCAUGGGGAGCAAACAGGAUUAGAUACCCCAGUAGUCCCUGUCUCUUAUAC
rnacentral:rRNA from 1 species